GAUGAACGCUGGCGGCGUGUCUAAUACAUGCAAGUCGAGCGAACAGAUAAGGAGCUUGCUCCUUUGACGUUAGCGGCGGACGGGUGAGUAACACGUGGGUAACCUACCUAUAAGACUGGGAUAACUUCGGGAAACCGGAGCUAAUACCGGAUAACAUUUGGAACCGCAUGGUUCUAAAGUGAAAGAUGGUUUUGCUAUCACUUAUAGAUGGACCCGCGCCGUAUUAGCUAGUUGGUAAGGUAACGGCUUACCAAGGCGACGAUACGUAGCCGACCUGAGAGGGUGAUCGGCCACACUGGAACUGAGACACGGUCCAGACUCCUACGGGAGGCAGCAGUAGGGAAUCUUCCGCAAUGGGCGAAAGCCUGACGGAGCAACGCCGCGUGAGUGAUGAAGGGUUUCGGCUCGUAAAACUCUGUUAUUAGGGAAGAACAAAUGUGUAAGUAACUGUGCACGUCUUGACGGUACCUAAUCAGAAAGCCACGGCUAACUACGUG
rnacentral:rRNA from 1 species